rnacentral:rRNA from 1 species
ACCUUAAAACUAGCCUAACUACCAUUAAUUAAUUACAAUAUUAUUAAUAAAUUAUAUUAAUAUUUUAUACUUAAAACAUUUUUAUAAUCUCAGUAUAGGUGAUAGAACAGAUAUAUUUAGCGCUAUAGAGAUAGUACCGCAAGGGAAAGCUGAAAGAGAAAUGAAAUAAAUCAUUAAAGUAAUAAAAAGCAAAGAUUUAACCCUGUACCUUUUGCAUCAUGAUUUAGUGAGAAUAAAUGGGCAAAAAGACCUUAAGUCCAUCUCCCCGAAACUAGACGAGCUACUUCGGAGCAGCAUACUAGAGCUAACCCGUCUCUGUGGCAAAAGAGUGGGGCGACUCCCAAGUAGAGGUAAAAAGCCUACCGAGCCUAGUGAUAGCUGGUUACCCAAGAAAAGAACUUAAAUUCUGCAAUAAUUAUUCAAUAUAUCAAAUUAGAUUUCUUAAUAAGAAAACUUGUAAAAAUUAUUAGUUAUUCAAAAAAGGUACAACUCUUUUGAAUUAAGAAACAACUUUAUUAGGUGGGUAAUGAUCAUAUUAUGUAAGGACCUAGCCCCAGUAGGCUUAAAAGCAGCCAUCUGAUAAGCAAGCGUCAUAGCUCCAGCCUUAAUCUUCCUAUAAUUUAGAUAUAACCUCACAACCCCCUAACCAAUAUUGGGUUUUUUUAUUUAAACAAUAAAAGAACAUAUACUAAAAUGAGUAAUUAGAGGAUUAACCUCUCCAAAACACCAGUGUAAGUCAGAAAGAAUUAAAUCACUGAUUAUUAACCGAUACCAUCCUGAGGUAAUAAUAUUAAUAAUAAAAGACUAGAAAAACACAUUUACCUUAUCGUUAACCCUACACAGGAGUGUUUUAAGGAAAGAUUUAAAGAAAAUAAAGGAACUCGGCAAACAUAGACUCCGCCUGUUUACCAAAAACAUCGCCUCUUGCAAACACUGUAUAAGAGGUCCCGCCUGCCCUGUGACAUUGUUUUAACGGCCGCGGUAUUUUGACCGUGCGAAGGUAGCGUAAUCACUUGUCUUUUAAUUAAAGACCUGUAUGAAAGGCAUCACGAGAGUCUAACUGUCUCUAUUUUCUAAUCAAUGAAAUUGAUCUUCCCGUGCAGAAGCGGGAAUAAAACCAUAAGACGAGAAGACCCUAUGGAGCUUCAAACACUUAAGCUAUUAUUUUAUAUAAUUUUAAUCUAAGGACUUAACUUUACUAAUAAUGAUGUAUCUUAAUGUUUUCGGUUGGGGCGACCGAGGAGUAAAAAAGAACCUCCUCAUCGAUUGAGUAUAUACUUAAAAAUUUGAACGACAGUUUUGAUUUAUAGAAUAUCUAACGAAUAAUGAUCCAGGAUUUAAUAUUUCUGAUCAAUGAACCAAGUUACCCUAGGGAUAACAGCGCAAUCCUUUCUAAGAGCCCAUAUCGCCGAAAGGGUUUACGACCUCGAUGUUGGAUCAGGACAUCCUAAUGGUGCAACCGCUAUUAAGGGUUCGUUUGUUCAACGAUUAAUAGUCCUACGUGAUCUGAGUUCAGACCGGAGUAAUCCAGGUCAGUUUCUAUCUAUGUAGAUAUUUUUCCUAGUACGAAAGGACCGGGAAAAUGAAGCCUAUGCUACAGGUACGCUUCUCCCUCAUCUGUUGAAAUAAACUAAAACAGGUAAGAGGGGUCAAUAAUCUACUAAAGAUUAUAGUUA